rnacentral:misc_RNA from 1 species
GAAAUGCGAUAAGUAAUGUGAAUUGCAGAACUCAGUGAAUCAUCGAAUCUUUGAAAGCACCUUGCGCUCCUUGGUAUUCCUUGGAGCAUGCCUGUUUGAGUAUCAUGAAAUCUUCAAAGUAAAUCUUUUGUUAACUCAAUUGGUUUCUACUUUGGUAUUGGAGGUCUUUGCAGCUUCACACCUGCUCCUCUUUGUUCAUUAGCUGGAUCUCAGUGUUAUGCUUGGUUCCACUCGGCGUGAUAAGUUAUCUAUCGCUGAGGACACUGUAAAAGGUGGCCAAGGUAAAUGCAGAUGAACCGCUGCUAAUAGUCCAUUGACUUGGACAAUACUUUUAUGAUCUGAUCUCAAAUCAGGUAGGACUACCCGCUGAACUUAAGC